UCCGAAGGUAAUGUAAGAAGUCGGUCUCUGAUGCCAAUAUGUCUGCUAGCCACACAUUCCCUUGAUCUUAUCAUUAUCACAAUACAGUUGGUACAAUGGUAGAAUAGCGACCAGGAGUGAGAGAUUGGGAACCAUUCAAGUCAACAGACGUGCUAAUUCAAUCACAACAGGACGGCCAAUACACUAUGGCCUAAUUGAUAGGUGUUACAAGGACCGACUACAUCCGUCUUGGUAUGUGUAUUCAACACUACUGAUCAAAGCUUCGAAAACAAAUAAGAAGCAGCCUCUGGAAAGGUUCGUGGUUCAGUCUGACUCUGCUGAAUCCAAGGUGUCAUUCGUGCGCUUUGUCACUGCCGGUAUUGGAAAUAAACUUUGUACUUUUUCAUCACGUUCGAGAGACGUCCUUUUUUCCUUACAACUGGCGAGCCACCCAGCGAGGAAUUCCGAAAAAAAAAAAACCGGGGACACUAAGAAAACCAGCAUAAAUAUGUGGGAGACCCUCUUGACUGUAAUGCUACCGGUGAUGGCGAUGACACAAGAGUGCCCAGAGCAGCGCCCAGCACCUCUGUCUGGGAUAAUUGCAAGACCACAUCAGGGCGCCCUGAACAACAAUGUCCAAUGGGUCCAUAUUCCAGUCCUGGUGAACUUGACAGCAUGGUCUCCAGAUCUGGAUGAGUACUGCAAGGGGGAGAGCAGGACCCAGUACAAGGACCUCAUGACAACAGCAUUCCUGAAAUACCAUGACAUGGUGGCUGCCAACUUCCAGAGCGACAGCCCAACCCCCACACCUACCAGACAAAAACUGCUUGGGUUCCUGGAUGGUGUUCUAGGAGCUACGGGAACCGGAUUAGGUGUUUCAAAUUGGAUGGAUACCCUACAAAGGAAAAAGAAUGAACUAAAACUGAAGGAGUUGAUUGCCACUCAGGUCCUACAGCGUGGUCCAUUGGGCCCUACCAUUUUCCAUAUGUAAAUACCACACGUCACAUUUUGUCUACUAGGCCUGAGGAUGAGUUAGGAUUUGUAGAAGAAAUCCCAGAAUUUGAUUUUGAACUUGACAUUUAAAGCCGCUGUAUGCAUCUGUUUGAUACUGAUUUUGAUUCAAGGUGUUAUGAUUUGUUGUAUGUGUUCUGUCCUAAACCGACAAAGACUUAUAUUUUGUAAAGCAGUCCCCUUGGCUUGGGUAGUACCCAGUCUCAAAUAUCUCGGCCGCUGACUAAUUGUUAUAGUUUAUUAUUUAUCAGCAUGGCACCCAGGUUGUGGUGGUGAUAACAUCCACAGGGAAAGCAGAGGCAAUAGCAGGCAGCGCUCAGAGUAAGACCAGUGGAAUGAGGUGUUGCUCCAAUGACGGGUAAGGUUCUCCGCGUGAUAGGAGAGCAACCUAAGGCAGGACAGCACCGCCACUGAUGAAGACUAUGUGCAUGUGAUGCUUUAUUGCAAAUAAGCAUCAAACGGGGGACUGUAAGAAGUCGGUCUCUGAUGCCAAUAUGUCUGCUAGCCACACAUUCCCUUGAUCUUAUCAUUAUCACAAUACAGUUGGUACAAUGGUAGAAUAGCGACCAGGAGUGAGAGAUUGGGAACCAUUCAAGUCAACAGACGUGCUAAUUCAAUCACAACAGGACGGCCAAUACACUAUGGCCUAAUUGAUAGGUGUUACAAGGACCGACUACAUCCGUCUUGGUAUGUGUAUUCAACACUACUGAUCAAAGCUUCGAAAACAAAUAAGAAGCAGCCUCUGGAAAGGUUCGUGGUUCAGUCUGACUCUGCUGAAUCCAAGGUGUCAUUCGUGCGCUUUGUCACUGCCGGUAUUGGAAAUAAACUUUGUACUUUUUCAUCA